rnacentral:rRNA from 1 species
UGCCAGCCGCCGCGGUAAUACGGAGAGUGCAAGCGUUACUCGGAAUCACUGGGCAUAAAGAGCACGUAGGCGGAUGUAUGUGUCGGUGGUGAAAGCCCUCGGCUUAACCGAGGAAUGGCCUCCGAAACUGUACAUCUUGAGGACAAGAGGGGAGAGCGGAACUUCUGGUGGAGCGGUGAAAUGCGUAGAUAUCAGAAGGAACACCGAUGGCGAAAGCAGCUCUCUGGCUUGUAUCUGACGCUGAGGUGCGAAAGCGUGGGUAGCAAACGGGAUUAGAUA